rnacentral:misc_RNA from 1 species
GAUGAAGAACGUAGCGAAAUGCGAUACUUGGUGUGAAUUGCAGAAUCCCGUGAACCAUCGAGUCUUUGAACGCAAGUUGCGCCCGAAGCCGUCAGGCCGAGGGCACGCCUGCCUGGGCGUCACACGCCGUUGCCCCCCCGCGCCCCGCACCCAACUCUUUUGGAGCGACCGCGGGGCGGGCUGAUGAUGGCCUCCCGUGCGCUCCGCCGCGCGGUUGGCCCAAAUACCGAGUCCCCGGCGACGUGCGCCACGACGAUCGGUGGUUGAGAGACCUCUGUCGCAAGUCGUGCGCGCCCGUCGCGUCACGCGGGCUCGCAUAGCGCCUCGCGCCGCACCCGGUGCGGAGCUUUCAACGCGACCCCAGGUCAGGCGGGGUUACCCGCUGAAUUUAAGCAUAUCAAUAAGCGGAGGA